GAAUAGCUGGUUGCUAGGUAACAGCUUACAGCACACAGACAUAGGAUCUGGGCUUCUGCCCUUACAGGGAUAAAGGCAAUGGUUUUGCACAGAUUCCCUACAUUAGAAACACCCAAAGCUGGAGUUAUACAUUGGUAUCUAAAGUACUAUGUUUUCUUUUGGAAGGUGAAGGUAUGAAGAAGACAGGAAUCUUGGGCACUGGUGCACAAUCUCAUGGCUGGAGCCCUCCAAGAAAAAAAAGUGAGAUCAAUUACACAGCGGUAAAACAUCUUCUGUGGGGCUGUGGUAACUACAACCUGAGAGAGACUAUUCAGGCCAAGGCAAAAGACAAGGAAGCAGAAAAGGUCAAUAUGAGGGAGAUGCCAACAUCCCUGGAUAGAAAAUAUCAUUAUGGGAGGACUGGGGAAACAGGCAGACUACAGACAACUCAGGAUAAAUACACAGAAGUACAUCCUGGCAUUUGGCCGCACGACUAACUGACAGUUAAAUAACGGAUUUCUCACUUUCAUUUCUGGGAUCAGAGGUGAGUGAAUGCACAGCACACACUGGGGGUCAAUU